CUACGGGUUGCUGCAGCUGAGGAAAUUUUACAAUGCUCGAAAGAGUGAUAGAAUAAACCAGAGUGUUGUUCUUAGAACAACUUUUAUCUGAUGUAAAAAGUCAGAUGAAUAAGGACUGGGCAAGACCGGUGCCAGCCGCCGCGGUAAUACCGGCGGUCCAAGUUGCAUCCAUUUUUAUUGGGUCUAAAACAUUCGUAGCUUGUUUUGUAAGUUUCUUGUGAAAUCUCAAGUCUCAAGCUUGGGGCGUGCAAGAAAUACUACAUUACUAGAGACCGGAAGACGUAAGGAGUAUGAUUAAGGUAGCGGUAAAAUGUGUUAAUCUUAAUCAGACUAACAAUGGCGAAGGCACCUUACGAGUACGGAUCUGACAGUGAGGGAUGAAGGCCAGGGGCGCAAAACGGAUUAGAUACCCCCGUAGUC
rnacentral:rRNA from 1 species